CAGCUCUCCGAGUGGUAGGGAUGAUUAUUGGGCUUAAAGCGUCCGUAGCCGGCUUAGCAAGUCUCCUGUUAAAUUCAGCGACCUAAUCGUUGAGCCGCGGGAGAUACUACUAGGCUAGGAGGCGGGAGAGGUCGACGGUACUUCUGGGGUAGGGGUGAAAUCCUAUAAUCCCAGGAGGACCACCAGUGGCGAAGGCUGUCGACUAGAACGCGCUCGACGGUGAGGGACGAAAGCGUGGGGAGCAAACCGGAUUAGAUACCCGAGUAGUCC
rnacentral:rRNA from 1 species